rnacentral:tRNA from 2 species
GGGCGGUUAGCUCAGUUGGCCAGAGCGCCUGCUCGACACGCAGGAGGUCGUUGGUUCAAGUCCAAUACCGCCCA